rnacentral:rRNA from 1 species
UACGGAGGGUGCAAGCGUUAUCCGGAUUCACUGGGUUUAAAGGGCGCGUAGGCGGGCAGGUAAGUCAGGGGUGAAAUCUCCGGGCUUAACCCGGAAACUGCCGUUGAUACUAUCUGUCUUGAAUAUCGUGGAGGUAAGCGGAAUAUGUCAUGUAGCGGUGAAAUGCUUAGAUAUGACAUAGAACACCCAUUGCGAAGGCAGCUUACUACACGAUCAUUGACGCUGAGGCACGAAAGCGUGGGGAGCAAACAGG